GGUUGCGAUCAUACCAGCACUAAUGCACCGGAUCCCAUCAGAACUCCGCAGUUAAGCGUGCUUGGGCGAGAGUAGUACUAGGAUGGGUGACCCCCUGGGAAGUCCUCGUGUUGCAACUCC
rnacentral:rRNA from 1 species